rnacentral:rRNA from 1 species
AGCAGUAGCCGCGGUAAUACGUAGGUGGCGAGCGUUGUCCGGAAUCAUUGGGCGUAAAGGGAGCGCAGGCGGGCAUGUAAGUCUUUCUUAAAAGUGCGGGGCUCAACCCCGUGAGGGGAGAGAAACUACUCAUCUUGAGUGCAGGAGAGGAAAGCGGAAUUCCUAGUGUAGCGGUGAAAUGCGUAGAUAUUAGGAAGAACACCAGUGGCGAAGGCGACUUUCUGGACGAAAACUGACGCUGAGGCGCGAAAGCCAGGGGAGCGAACGGGAUUAGAUACCCCCGUAGUCCCUGUCUCUUAUACC